UACGUAGGGUGCAAGCGUUAAUCGGAAUUACUGGGCGUAAAGCGUGCGCAGGCGGUUCUGUAAGUCUGUCGUGAAAUCCCCGGGCUUAACCUGGAAGUAUCGAUGGAGACUGCAAGGCUAGAAUCUGGCAGAGGGGGGUAGAAUUCCACGUGUAGCAGUGAAAUGCGUAGAGAUGUGGAGGAACACCGAUGGCGAAGGCAGCCCCCCUGGGUCAAGAUUGACGCUCAUGCACGAAAGGCGUGGGGAGCAAACGAGG
rnacentral:rRNA from 1 species